GAUGAACGCUGGCGGCGUGCCUAAUACAUGCAAGUCGAGCGAACAGACGAGGAGCUUGCUCCUCUGACGUUAGCGGCGGACGGGUGAGUAACACGUGGAUAACCUACCUAUAAGACUGGGAUAACUUCGGGAAACCGGAGCUAAUACCGGAUAAUAUAUUGAACCGCAUGGUUCAAUAGUGAAAGACGGUUUUGCUGUCACUUAUAGAUGGAUCCGCGCCGCAUUAGCUAGUUGGUAAGGUAACGGCUUACCAAGGCAACGAUGCGUAGCCGAACUGAGAGGGUAAUAGGCCACACUGGAACUGAGACACGGUCAAGACUCCUAAGGGAGGCAGCAGUAGGGAAUCUUCCGCAAUGGGCGAAAGCCUGACGGAGCAACGCCGCGUGAGUGAUGAAGGUCUUCGGAUCGUAAAACUCUGUUAUUAGGGAAGAACAAAUGUGUAAGUAACUAUGCACGUCUUGACGGUACCUAAUCAGAAAGCCACGGCUAACUACGUG
rnacentral:rRNA from 1 species